rnacentral:rRNA from 1 species
UACCAGCACCCCGAGUGGUCGGGACGUUUUAUUGGGCCUAAAGCAUCCGUAGCCGGUUCUGCAAGUCUUCCGUUAAAUCCACCUGCUUAACAGAUGGGCCGCGGAAGAUACUAUAGAGCUAGGAGGCGGGAGAGGCAAGCGGUACUCGAUGGGUAGGGGUAAAAUCCGUUGAUCCAUUGAAGACCACCAGUGGCGAAGGCGGCUUGCCAGAACGCGCUCGACGGUGAGGGAUGAAAGCUGGGGGGAGCAAACCGG